CUCUCGAAGAGAAAAGCGCGUUUCUUCUCCUGUCCCCCGAUGUCAACGACAAGUGAAUCAACAGGCCUGUGCUAAUUACGGUUAGCAGGACAGACUCCUCUCUCCCACUGCGACGGGCUUCAAGGUCCCUCCGGAGCGGCAGCACACCGGAUGGUCUGCCAACAGCCACAGAAGAGGGACCCUGAGUGUCUCCUGUCUAUCUCAUGAUGGCUCCAUGAUGGUUUGACUACUCGUCAACUGACUUUAACUUUGGCAUCAUUUCUGUAAGAAUCACGUCUGUCAUGCCAUAGCUUG